rnacentral:rRNA from 1 species
CAGUAGCCGCGGGAAUACGGAGGAUCCAAGCGUUAUCCGGAAUCAUUGGGUUUAAAGGGUCCGUAGGCGGUCUUGUAAGUCAGUGGUGAAAGCCCAUCGCUCAACGGUGGAACGGCCAUUGAUACUGCAGGACUUGAAUUAUUGGGAAGUAACUAGAAUAUGUAGUGUAGCGGUGAAAUGCUUAGAGAUUACAUGGAAUACCAAUUGCGAAGGCAGGUUACUACCAAUUGAUUGACGCUGAUGGACGAAAGCGUGGGUAGCGAACAGGAUUAGAUACCCCCGUAGUCCCUGUCUCUUAUAC